GACAGAGGAUGCAAGCGUUAUCCGGAAUGAUUGGGCGUAAAGCGUCUGUAGGUGGCUUUUUAAGUCCGCCGUCAAAUCCCAGGGCUCACCCCUGGACAGGCGGUGGAAACUACCAAGCUGGAGUACGGUAGGGGCAGAGGGAAUUUCCGGUGGAGCAGUGAAAUGCGUAGAGAUCGGGAGGAACAUCAGUUGCGAAGGCGGCUCUCUGGACCAGCACUGACACUGAGGCACGAAAGCGUGGGGAGCAAACAGG
rnacentral:rRNA from 1 species